CUCCUGGAAAACGGGUGGUAAUGCCGGAUGCUCCGACUCCUCGCAUGGGGUGUCGGGAAAGAUUUCAUCGGUAUGGGAUGGGGUCGCGUCCUAUCAGGUAGUCGGCGGGGUAACGGCCCACCGAGCCUACGACGGGUAGCCGGCCUGAGAGGGCGACCGGCCACAUUGGGACUGAGAUACGGCCCAGACUCCUACGGGAGGCAGCAGUGGGGAAUAUUGCACAAUGGGCGCAAGCCUGAUGCAGCGACGCCGCGUGCGGGAUGACGGCCUUCGGGUUGUAAACCGCUUUUGAUCGGGAGCAAGCCUUCGGGUGAGUGUACCUUUCGAAUAAGCACCGGCUAACUACGUGCCAGCAGCCGCGGUAAUACGUAGGGUGCAAGCGUUAUCCGGAAUUAUUGGGCGUAAAGGGCUCGUAGGCGGUUCGUCGCGUCCGGUGUGAAAGUCCAUCGCUUAACGGUGGAUCUGCGCCGGGUACGGGCGGGCUGGAGUGCGGUAGGGGAGACUGGAAUUCCCGGUGUAACGGUGGAAUGUGUAGAUAUC
rnacentral:rRNA from 1 species